CCUACGGGUGGCAGCAGUGAGGAAUAUUGGUCAAUGGGCGGGAGCCUGAACCAGCCAAGCCGCGUGAGGGAAGAAGGUACAGCGUAUCGUAAACCUCUUUUGUCAGGGAACAAAGGCGGGGACUAGUCCCCGGAUGAGGGUACCUGAAGAAAAAGCAUCGGCUAACUCCGUGCCAGCAGCCGCGGUAAUACGGAGGAUGCGAGCGUUAUCCGGAUUUACUGGGUGUAAAGGGAGCGUAGGCGGGACUGCAAGUUGGGUGUCAAAUCUACCGGCUCAACCGGUAGCCGCACUCAAAACUGCAGUUCUUGAGUGAAGUAGAGGCAGGCGGAAUUCCUAGUGUAGCGGUGAAAUGCGUAGAUAUUAGGAGGAACACCAGUGGCGAAGGCGGCCUGCUGGGCUUUUACUGACGCUGAGGCUCGAAAGUGUGGGGAGCAAACAGGAUUAGAUACCCUUGUAGUC
rnacentral:rRNA from 1 species